rnacentral:pre_miRNA from 1 species
GAUUUCAAUUGAAAAAGUCAUCAACAACAAAGUUGAAUAACUCAUCAAGAUCUAAAACUUUUAUUUUUGUUAUUUCUUCAUCCGACGAAAUGUUAGUAAUAUUAUUCACAAAUUUUACAUAUAUGUGUUAUGUUUAUAAAACCAGAUAAGAGAUAUGUCAAUUUUGUGAACAAUAUUACUAUCACUUUGUAGUAUGAAGAAAUGAGCAAAAUAAAAGUUUUAGAUCUUGAUGAGUUAUUUAACUUUGUUGUUGAUGACUUUUUCAGUUGAUAUC